GUUAACGAAUGAGAUCUCAGCCUGCUAACUAGCUAUGUGAAGGUGAGCCUCCACAGCCAGCUUCUUAGAGGGAUUAUGGCCGCUUAGGCCAAGGAAGUUUGAGGCAAUAACAAGUUUGUGAUGCCCUUAGAUGUUCUGGACCGCAUGCGCACUACACUGAUGUAUUCAAUGAGUCUAUAGCCUUGGCCGACAGGCUCAGGUAAUCUUUGAAAUUUCAUCGUGAUGGGGAUAGAUCAUUGCAAUUGUUGGUCUUCAACGAUGAAUUCCUAGUAAGUGCGAGUCAUCAGCUUGCGUUGACUACAUCCCUGCCCUUUGUACGCACCGCCCUGUUGCUCCUACCGAUUGAAUGGUCUGGUGAAGUGUUCGGAUCGCAGUGAUGUGGGUGGUCCGCUGCCCGCGACAUCAUGAGAAGUCCAUUGAACCUUAUCAUUUAGAGGAAGGAGAAGUAGUAACAAGGUUUUCGUAGGUGAACCUGCAGAAGGAUCAUUGUCAAACCUUCGAACGAACCGCGAACACGUUUUAACACUCUGAGGGGGGGGGGCGGGCCCACCACUCCGCCACCAUAAACUACCAUGUUAGGUGGAGACUCCAUCCUUGAAGAAAUCACAUGUUUUGAUUUCUUCGAUCCAUUGCCUUUCUCACCCUCUAAUAUUACUAAAAAGGUAGACUUUCAGUUAGAUGGCAGCUUAGAUCACUUGAUAAACUUGUCAUUUGUGUUGAAUUGCACUUCCAUUAGAUGAACCCUUGUCUUUCCUUAGUAUUUUCUGUUGAAAUCCAUGAAGCCCUCCACCUCAACUGCUUCCCCAAUCGCUCUAGUAACCAUCGAACUUCUUUCUUUUCAAAACCCAUAGAGAAAAUAGAACCUAGGCUUUGCUCUAACACCAAUAUCCAUAUCCCUCUAACCUUGCCUUCAAAUCUUACCUCGAAGGUUUUCCUUUCCACACUGCACAACCUUCUCGUACUCUUCCCUAUAUGGUAUAAAAUGUUAUUUUUUAGGUGGUUCUUUACUUUUUUAAUUCCUACAGAAUUGCUUCCUCAAAUGACAGUGUCAUCCAUAUGUAGCAUGGGUAUCACUAUUUUAGACUUCCUUUUAGGAACAAACAUUGAGUGAUCUGACCGACAUUGAUAAAAGCCAUUUGUUGUUACUACAACAUUGAACUUAUCAAGAUAUGCAGGAGAAGAUUGCUUUAACCCUCAGAUUCUCCUCUUUAAACAUCAUGCUUGUAAUCCGUACUCCCCUUAAGCAAUGAACCCAAGUGGUUACUCCAUGAUAGAUUUUUCCAAUUGAAGUUGGUGACUAAGGGAAUAAAGAUAUGGAUUAAAUCAAGACAGGAAGUUAGAGAAAAUGUCUCAAAAUAGUCUACCCAUAAGCGUAAGUAUGGCCUUUAACAAGAAGUUCAACUUUGAGCCCUGCUCAAUUGUGUCCUCUAGUUGAUAUUUUAUGGGAUAUACCCAUUUACACACUACUAGUGUUCCUGGUAGGUAAAGUAGUGAGUUCCCAUGUGCCGCUAUUUACCAGGGCAUUCAUCUCCUCUAUAACUUUCUUCCAUUCUGGAUGACUCAAGGUGGCUUGAUAAUUUUUAGGGGUAGAGAAAACAGACAAAGCAGUUGAUAAAGCACAAUAUUGAGAGAGAUCAUGAGUGGUAAAAUAACUAUCAAGGGGAUAUUGAAGACAAGGAUGUCCAUCUUUACAAAGAGCCAUGUAUAAUUUGGAAGGAUCGGUCACAAUAACCGAUGGUAGAGUAGAUAGGAUUGAGCAUGAAAGAGACUAAUUAGGAGCAGUUGAACCAUGGGUCCAUUGAUAUGCCAACAACAAUUUAGAAGGGGCUGAGGUAAUAGUUUCUGAAAUUUGUGAAGGAUGAGGAGGUGAAGAACAAAGUUUUGAGUGUAGCGAGGAUCUUGUAGAAGAAAAAAGGAAGUAGACUCAAGAAAAGUCACAUUUGCAUUGACAAAGCUCCUAUGACAGAUAUGAUCAUAACAUUUAUGCCUUUCUAAGUUUGAGAAUAUUGAAAGAAACACAUUUGAUGGUACAAGAUGAUAAGUUAUCUUGAUUUGGAGGACAAUGUUUAACAAAACAACCAAAGAUACAAGGUGGAAGAGCAAAUGAAGGCUGAUCGAGACACAACAACAAAUAUGGAGAAUACCCUUUUAAUACAAAUGGGGGUAACCGAUUAAUCUAAUAGUAAGUAAUUAAGAUGGCAUCCUCCCAAAACUGUUUAGGAACGUGCAUGUGGAACAUGAGACAUUGGCCAACAUAAAAAAAAUAGUGGUUUUUUCUUUCAGCAACCUUGUUUUGUUAUGGUCUGUACACAAGAAGUUUGAUGAAUAAUACCACAACUUGUGCAAAAAGAAGUCAAUGCAUGGUUUUUAUAUUCAAGGACAUUAUCUGAAUGAAGAAAACAACUAAAAUAACCAAACUAAGUUUUCAUUUCAUUAAAAAUAUAAUGAAAUACAUGAGGAACUUCAAAAAGUUCUUUAUGCAAGUAGAAUUAUAUAACAUGUGAAUAAUCAUUGACAAAACUGAUAAAAUAGCAAAAGCCUUGAAUAUGGGGAACUUGACAUGGGCCCAAAGCAUCAUAAGGAGCCACUUUAAAACAAGAGGACUCUUUUUUAAGUCGCACGGGAAAGGAAGAACAAUGAUGUUUCCCAUACACAUAAGAUUGACAUUUUAACUGAUAAAAUGAAAUGGAGACACAGAGGAGGACAAUGCAACAACAUGAAAGUAACCAUCAUUGUGAAGCUGCUACCAAUCUUCUUCUUUAUGAUCAAAUCCUUAAAAACACAAUAAAAAAGAAGAAUCGUACUAUAAUAAUUUUGUUGUUUUGUUAAUUGACUAAUAGAAGCAAGAUUAAUUGAUACUUUAGGCAUAUAUAGCACGGGUCAAGAUGAAGAGGUAAAGAAAAAGUAGGAUGAGAAACACCUAGACCACUAUCCACAGAAGAAAAACCAUGAGCCAAUCAUAUGGAAAAAUUGUUGAAGAUGGAUUAAGUAUGGAAAAUUUUGAAGAUGUCCCAGACAUAUGGAAGGCAGUGUCAGAGCCAAUAAUCUGAGGGUUAGGGUUAUGAGAUGAAAGAAGUGCAGUACCUGUAUGGGCCAUUGUAGCCAUGGGAGUGUUGGUUUUAGUAGCAGAAGGGGCCUUAGAUGAUGUUAGCACCACUUGAAUAGUAGAUGGCAUAGAUUCUGAUGCAUCCCAGUCCUGUUUCCCAGAUUUGCCCUAGCAUUUGUCGAAAUAAUGACUAGUCUUACCAUGGUGAAUAUAGUAUUGACCCGUUAAAAGUGCAAGAACGUGAGGACACUUUAUGUUGGAAAGAAGAUAGGAGAGGAUUGUUCAGCGUCAAGAUUCAUCUUGUAAAAUGGCUAGUUGUUUGCUUGGAUAAAAGUAAAGAGGGUUUGGGGGUAAAAUGCCUCUCUACUCUUAAUAGAUCUCUUUUGGGUAAAUUGAGUUUACACUUUAUGGUAGAAAAUGAGGCUUUUUGGUAUCAAGUUAUUAGUAGGAAGUAUGAAGUGGAAGAAGGGGGGCAGUAUACUUGGGAAGGUAGAGAGGGUUUUGCAGUGGGGUUGUGGAAGGAGAUUAGAAAGGAAGGUUGAUGGGGAAAAGUCUUUUAAAGUUUAUUCAAGGAAGAUAGGGAAGACCUAAGUAAACUUUAAGUAAGAUUAAUAUUAAUUAGAAUUGAAUUGGGAUUGGUAUUUGUUAGAGUCUAAUUAGGAUUAGCUAGUUGAGUUAUAAUAUAAUUAGAAUUUGAGUCAUGAUAGGUUAUUAGAAUCCUAGUAGACUUUGGAUGUUAUUAUUAGAAUUAUAAUCAUAAUAGGUUAUUAGAGUCCUAGUGGACUUUGGAUUUCUUAGAGAAGCUUAUAAAUAGACUAAUCAAUGUAAAUCAAAGGAAUGAUUUGAUAUGAAUAAUAUUAUAUUUUCUUUCAUUGUAAGGUUGCAACCCUCAAUGGUAAGAUUCCAUUUAUUUUCUUCUAGGUGAGACUCCUAGAAAGCCUUAAUGAGACUCUAAGGUUUUCCAUUUUUUCUUCAUUGUUUCUUUUUUCUCUCUAUUUCUUAUCUUAUAAUUUUCUCUACCAUAAAAUUUAUUUUUUGUUCCUCUCCUUGCACCCUAAAAAAUAAAACCCUAGCCCACCUACCCUUGAGUGUAGGCAACCAUCCUAGGGUUGUCCUACGUCAAAGGUUCUCGGUUGAGCAACUACAUUGGGUUUUCUGUGGGUAAUGGAAGUAGAAUCAGAUUUUGGUUGGAUCCUUGGUGUGGUGUUGAGGCUUUGUGCAACUCUUUCCCCUCUUUGUUUGCUUUGGUGGUUUCUAAAGAAGACUGGGUGGCGGAGGUGUGGGACUCUUCGGUUGAGGGGGGGAGUUGGAGUCCUCAUUUUUUGAGGGCCUUCAAUGAUUGGGAGGUAGUCUUGGUGGAGCGGUUGCUCUGGACAAUACAAGGAAUUAGAGUUAGUGCAAAUUUGGAGGAUAGGGUGAUUUAGAAAAAGAUAAAAAAUGGGUUUUUCAUAGUUACGUCUCUUUAUAGUGCUGAAGAACCAGGAAAUACAGUCCGGUUUCCAAGAAAAAUAAUUUGCAGCCCUUUUGUUCCUCCAAGAAUGGGUUUUUUUUUGCUUGGGAAGCCUCUUAGGGGAAAGUUUUAACUUUGGAUCAACUCUAAAGGAGGGGUUAGUCCCUUGCCAAUAGAUGUUUCUUUUGUCUAGUCGAAGUGGAGUCUACUAAUCACAUCUUAAUUCAUUGCACGAAGACUAGAGUUUAGUGGGAGUUAUUAUUCGCUCUCUUUGGGGUGACUUGGGUUCUCCCUUGUUUGGUAAGGGAGACUCUCCUUGGUUGGUUUGGGUCAUUUGUGGGCAAGAAGCGCAAAAAAGCUUGGAAGCUGGCUCCUUUAUGCCUUUUUUGGGUGGUGUGGAAAGAAAGAAAUGUGAUAGCGUUUGACAAAGAAGAGUUUUCAGUUCAUAGAUUGAAGCAUUGUUUUGUAUGUAGUUUAUGGUCUUGGACAAAGUUGUAUAUAGAUGUUUGCCCUUUAUCUUUAAUCGACUUUUUUGAUUGGUUGGGCUUUAGGUGAGAGCGGGUGAGGUUUUUGUUUUUCCUCCUGUUUUGCUCUUUUUUGCCUUUUGGCACCUAUUGUGUACUUUCUGUAUGCCUUGGGUUGCUUUCCGGUCUUCCUUUUUCUAAUUAAUCUACUCUCUACUGUGUUUAUCCAUCCAAAAAAAAAUAUUAUUGUUCUCUAAGUGGGGAGAAUAAUUUUGCUUUUCUGGGAAAAGAGGUUUAGGGAUCCUGUGCUCCUCUUAGAACUUUCUUUUUUGCUUGGGAAGCUGUUUGGAGGAAAAUCCUAAUUGUAGACACCUUAAUGAAGAGGGGAUGACAAAUGGUCAAUAAAUAUAAUCUUUGUAAAGAGAGUGAAGAAUCAACCAAUCACAUUCUGAUUCAUUGUGCCAAGACAAGAGAACUUUGGAUCUUUUUAUUAGUCCUCUUUGGAGUGACUUGGGUAUUUCCAGUUUCAUUAAGAAAUCUCCUCCUUCAAUGGAAAGUUAAGGGGUUUCAAAAGAAGAAUAGAGCAAUUUGGUGCUUGGCUCCCAUUUGCUUAUUUUGGUGUGUUUGGAAAGAAUGUAAUCGAAGAACCUUCAAAGAUGAAGAACUCUCCGACCAGGGUUUAAAAGAUCUCUUCUUUCAGACUCUUUUUGAGUGGACUAGGGAUUCUUUGGAGCUGGAUUUCCCCUCUAUGUUGAUUUUCCUAGAUACUCUUUGUUGUGGUUAACUUUGCUUUGUUUUGUUUGUGUGGUCUUUCUUUGUUUGAGGUGUGUUUGGCUUGUUUUUGUGUAUAUAACCUAUAUACGUAGGGCGCACCCCCUCCUUUUUAGGCGCUUAUUUUUACAUGUUCUUGUUGUCUAUAAAAAAAAAACAGUAUUGGUCAUCCCUAACAAGGCCUCCCACUGCAUAAUGAGCUUGAUCACAAGGACUAUUAACACCUCUUCCUCUAGUGCUAGAGGAAACAUUAAUCAUUGAAGGGGAGAAUAGAUGUUGCUGAUUGAAGGUAAGGUUUCACUUGAGACUAAGUCUUCACUUUAUAGUAGAUAGGUUGAAGACCAAAUAAAAAUUUAGCAAGUACAAACCCUUUUUGCUAGCUUUUGCAAUUUUCCAUAUUACUAUGAUUGAUAUUUAGUGCUUCACUCAUAAUUUUAAGAGUCCUAUCAUAUUCACCAAGAGGUUUAUCAUCCUAUUUGAGGCCAAAAAUAUUUUCAUGUCUGAUAAAUGUUUUUAUCUUUUCCGACAAGUAAGGAAACGAUACAUUAAAAAGUGCCAAAAGAAUGGUGCCCAAAGUACACAAGAUGUAUACAAGAGCACUAAAGGGCUAAAAAUAAGAUGACGGGAAACCAAAAACAUUCCCUCCCCUUGCUUACAAUCUCACCAAUCUACAAAGUCUUGCAAAGAAAGGAUUUAAGCUCUUGAUCAAUAAGCUCUACAUUAUCAAAAGCCUUCCUAUUUCUCUUUUACCAAAUAGUCCAGAGCAAGCACAAAGGAGCGGCUUUCAUGCUUGUUUCCAUUGCUUCCUGACAAAGCAACUGUUCCAACUUAAAAGAGUUGAUUCACCAAAAAAAUCAACACCCAUGCAAUACUAAGUAGGGAGAAGACUAACUGCCCUAGAAUUCUUUCCUUGGAACAGUGGCGGAGGAUGUGCUCAAUAGAUUCUUCCUCACCUUUGCACAUAAAACACCUAUUCACCAAAAUCCAACCUAUCCUCAUUAUCUUGUCCUUGGUUAAAAUACCUUUCCAAACUAAUAGAUGUUUCCAUCUUGAGGAUAAGUUUCUUGCCUCACAGACAAUGUCCCGAGUUUCUUUAGCAAUACCCAAAAACAUCAUAUUAGCACUAACAUAAGGAGACAUGCUAUUCAAUAAUCACAACAUGAUCAUAAAAUGAUCCUAUUGCCACUUUUCAAAAUUAGGGACUUCAAAUCUGGAGGAUCAAAAGGAGAUAGCAUCCCUUAUGCACCAAUAUGUACUUUUAACUGCCUUAGACACAUAGGUCAAUUCAAUUCAUUUUAUUGAGAUAAUUUGUAAAUUCAUAGGAUCAGGAGAUAGAGAUCCACUCUGUGCCUUAUCGGGGAAACAGUAGGAAGAGGCAAGCAGCAACCAUGAGGUAGAAGACAACAGCAGCUAUGAGGUAGUAGACAGCAGAACAUAGUCACUUGACAGAAUUAUCAUUUCCUAUAGUAGCAGAAAAUAAAGGUAUAUAGGCCACAGACCAAAAAGGAGAUUUCUAGAUCAGCAUAUGGUUCACAGUAUAGGACUCCCAUGGUAGGUAGUAGUAAGUCAUAGACCAAAAGCAAGGCAAAUUGCAUGUUUCUAAUCCAUAAAUACAGCAGACUUCUAUCAUCAAUAACCAAUAGAAACAGCUAGGGGCAAACAAAAAGUUGCAGAAAAUAGAACUGAAUAUGAGAAUUGGAGAGGAAACAGAAAAUAGGAACAAAUCUACAUAGGCAACCAGAUCUGAUUUUCUGGAAAAAAAAUAAAAAAUUGCAAGAUUCAAAGUGAUUUGAAUCUUUCAGUAGAUUAGAGUGGUUGCUACAUGGUGUGUAGGGCUUAGGGUGAAUUGCUGCAGGAUAGUUAGGGUUUAAACAGAGUUGCAGCAUGGUUGCUGUUAGGUAGUUAACACCUUUUAUGCCUUUUCUUAUCCCCAAACAGGAUUUUGUAACUACCUGAUAAGCUGGAAAAAGGGUCUGCUGCCUAAUAAAGCCCUAGAAAGUAAUAGACGCUAGCUCUGUCAUUCUCUUGAACUGCUUGUAACAACUAAUAAAACAAAUUGCAACUUAAAAUGACAAUCAUAUUCGCAUCUUACAUGUGUAUUACUUUCUCUCUGUCUCUCUCUCUCUUAUUUUCCUUUUUCCACUUGUGGUAUAUGAAAACAUGUCAGAAAAUUAUUAUCCAAAACGACAUUCUAUGCCAUUUGACACAUUUUAAUGCUCCACCUUGUUCACAUUUAAGAAUGGUCCUUGAUAGGAAAAUGCUAGUUUUAAUGUCUCUUUUACCAUCUUUUCAUUUUUACCAGACUUUACAGUUGAUGUGCCAUCACCACAACAGGUUGUUAUUUGCCUGAAUGUGCUGAAGUGUUAAUAUUUUGCACUUAUGUAAUGUUGUCACAUUCAUGGUCAUCUCAGAUGGUAAACGAGGUCAUUAAACUAGUGCUAGUACAUCUCCCUUCUUAAUGCAUGCAUAUCAUACACCAAAAGAAAAACUUGUGAUGGACUAUUCUCUUUAUUUCAUCCUUUUUCAGGUGGAUUAACUUGAAGGUUCCAUUCCAUGAGGUAUUUGGCAACAUCAGGUGCAACCUAAAAGAAGCUGUCCAGCGGGCUGGGCUACUGUGGGAAGGCCGUGCUCAUUGUGGUUUGGAUGAUGCUAAGAACACUGCUCGUUUACUUGCCCAUAUCAUGCAUCGUGGAUUUAGGUUCAGUAUAACCAACUCACUGAUUUGGCAAUCUACUGAGCGCCCUUCGAUAAGGCAGCAGUUCCAUGAUUGCCAAUAUGGCCCCAUCCAGCAUCCCCACAAAUUGAAGCACCCACUAGGGCCCUUUAUGCGGUUUCAUCCAAUCCCAGUAGAGCCUGAAAAAGACCUAGGAACAUAUUGUUUCUGUGGGGUGAGGAGCAGCAGGCAGAUGCUUCGCAAGCCAGGUCCAAUGCAUGGAAGUUUCUUCUUUGGAUGUGGGAAUUGGACUGCAGCUAGGGGUGCACUUUGCUCAUAUUUUGAAUGGGCUACUUAGUGACUUGAGUGAAAGGAUAUCUAUCCUUACCUGUGAAAGCAAAAAUGAAAAUUAAAAAAAGAAAAAAAAGGGGGAAAAAAAAGGGAAAGAAAGAAAUGAAUGACAAGAGAGGGAAGGUCUCCUAUGAAAGCAAUGCUGGUGUUCGCUCAUUCAUGAGGUUGCUGCUUCUUACAUUUGAUACUGUAGCCUCCAAAGGGGUGUCUGUUCAUAGAAUCUUUGAGAAGUCUAAUAGGAAGAGGGAUCUCUAACUUGUAAAGCUGACUUCUGGUUGGCAGAAAAGCGGGAGGAUAUGGAAUAGGAAAUGCUUACAUAGGAGAAUGGUUUUCACCAUGCCAGGACAUGGUUUUAAACUUCUUAAAUAAUCUUGUUAAAUAGGGAUAAUGUGUUUUAUCUAUGGUUUUAGUGGGAAUGAGCUGCCAUUGAUUGCGCUCCUUUUCCCCUUCAAGUUUCUAUUCUAUGUUUCUAUUGUUUCUAGAUGCCAUCUCUAGGGGAUGAUCUUCAUUCAUGUCGUCCAUCUACCUUCACUGGCGCACCUCCCAUCGGUAGUUUACAGCUAUAGUUAAGUUGGCUACCACCAAAAUUUAGGUAAACAUUUGCUUCAUGGAUAUAGUCUGAUUCAUUCAUUUGUUCAUUGUUUUGGGUUAGGGUGAUUCCCAAUUUAGAGCUAUGUUGAUGCAUGUUCACACCAAGAUUGAAUUAACCAGCUUUUGAAGCUUCUGCUUACAUUUGCCUCAGAACUCAAAUCUGCUGUCUACCUUUUUAUUGAUGUGAUGAAAUCUCACAGUUUUUGCAUUGUGUUGUUUUUGUACUUGGAUUCAUAGAUGAUGAUGAUGAUGAUCAAUAUGAUCCCUUCCCUUUAUUUUUUGCUUUGAAAUUUCAUGCUUUCUGGAUUUCAUUCAUUGGGCUUUCUUUUGAUUGAAUAUAGAUUGAAUGACAUUUUUAUAACUGCAGUGCAGUGUUAUGUACUUUGUGAAUGAAUUAUCAUUUGAUUUAUAACUCCCAACCUUUAGUAAAACUUAAUACUUAUUUCUUAAUGAUUUAAGUUAAAUUAUAUUUAAGUUGUUGAUUUAAAAUUUAUCAUUUAAUUCUUAUUUUUAAGUAUUAAGUUUCUUUGAUAAAAUUAAUUUAAAAAUUUUAUUUUGAAUCAUCAAAUUGACAUAUUUAUCCUCAUAAAUUAUAAUUAAGAUAAAUGAGGUCGAGUAACAAUAGAAUUUGUGGAGUAGCAAAAGGGAUCGUGGAGAUAAUUAUGACAGAUAAAAAUAAAAAAGUAAAAUAAAAAUGUGGACUUGAUAAUAAGUUAAUUGUUUUUACUUAUUAUUUAAAGAUAUUUUUUUUACUUUAAAUUAUAUUAUUAAAUUAUGUUAUCAAACAUAUUUAAUUUAUUUAAUGAUUUAAAUUAAAUUAUUAAGUCACUUUAAGUUAGUAAGAGCUCGAUUGACAAUGAUUUUAGGAAAUAUUUUUAAUUUUUUUAAUAUUUAAUUUUUUUUUUAUCAUUCAAGUGUUGAAUAGAUUAAAAACGUUUUUUAGAAUUACUAUGAAACGCAAAAGUUGAUUUCCCUACCACCCACAAAUCGGUAGUUGAUCAUUAGGGAAGGCUAAUAUGAUGGUGGUGGUGUAAUUUUUUAUUAGAGUUCUUGCAGCUCUCUCACUUUCUUUGGACUUAGAACUUACUAUUUUUGAAUAUUUUAUUUAUUUCUUUUUCAUUAGAAAGAUUUAUAAUUGCAUAUGAUGUUGCUCUAUUUGCUUCUUAUCGUAACACCUAUCUAGCAAUUGUGGUUUAUUUAUUAUUCCUGUUUUUUUUAACACAAAUUUAAUAUUUUCAAUUUUUUAAAGAAAAAUAAAGAAUAAUUUUGAUAAAUUUGAAAACAUAAAAAAGGAAUAAAAUUAUAUAAAAGAUUUAUGGAUCCAUAAUAUAAAAGAAAAACGAUUCAUAUAUAUUUUUAAACUUGGAUCACCAAAAAAAUUGUAAGUGUACAUGUGUGAAUUAUUUGAAAAAAUUAAGAUAAAUAAGAUUUUCAUGAAUCAAAAUCAAGAAAGUUUAUUCAAAGCCAAUUGUCAUAUGAUUAUCCAAUGACUUAUUUGGAUGAAAAGAAAUUUUAAAAAAUUAACUCAAUCUCAAUCAUAAUUCAUCAAACAAUCCAUAUUUAAUCACUUAAUCUCCUAAAUAUCAAAUUCUAACAACAUUCAAGUGUGCCUCGAAUCAGGGUUCAAAACAUCGUCCGAGUCGUAUUCGCCUCAACACCAGUUGUGAUGAGUUCGAUACCCGAUAUACUUUUUACCUAGACUCGACCUUAAAUCGGUUGGACUCGGAUGACUCGACUGGUAUUCCAAGUUAACUUGGUCGACUUGAAAAAAAAAAAAAAACUAAUCAAUAGAUUCCAUGCAAAAGAAACCCAUCACAACAAUAAUCAAAACUUUAAGAGAAAUUAGAGAUUCUUCUGCACAAGAAAACCCUUGAAAAUUUUGAAACAAACCCGUGAAAAUUUGAAACAAACCCGUGACCAUUUCAAAAGCCUUUAAAAAGAGACACGGUUGAAGAAUAACUUACUUAACCCUAAAUCCACCAUUGCCAGAGUGUAGAUUUUUCAUCUUUGGUGCACUACCGAUGCCGCAAUGGUGACUGGAUGCCGGCAAGGCAACCCUCCUCCAUUCGAUAGUCCGAUUGUGGUUGUGUGGUAGCAGUGGGAAGGUCCGAGUCGUCUGAGAGGCUGCAGAUCGUGAUCAUCGUGGUGUGUUGGGGAAGAAGAUAGUGGGCAAGGGUUCUUGGGGAAGAAGCUAGCAGAUGAUAAAUGUAAAGUUUGAUUUACCUUAUUUAAAUCAAAACACCCCUAUAAUAUAUUUUGAUUCAUUACUUUAAUUUAGGAAAGAUAAGAGCUGGUUGAUGGGUCAUUCUAUCGCUCUUUUCCAUUUGUUCUACCUCUACAUGAUUUGAUUAUUGGGUUGCACUCCUAGCUUGCCAUGUCCCAUGGACUUUGUCUUUGGCCCUUGUGGAGACAUUUUUGUAUUUUACUUUUGGAUAAAUUAUAACUGUGAUAUCUACGGUUUUAAAAUGUAUAUACAUGUAAAAAAGAGCUCAUAAGUAUAUAACACUAAUUUUUUUUUCCUUAUUCAAUGUGAAAAAUCAUAUGUAACGUCCACAUGCCCAAAUCAUAUAAUUUUUUUUUAUAUAUAUUAAUUUAUAGUAAAAAAUUCUACAAGAAAUUGUUAUUUAAUAUAACCUAUUUAACAUUUGGUUAUAUUUUAAGAUUAUUAUUAUUUAAAAAAGAAAAAAGGGUUUGCAUGAGUGAAAGUAUAGAAAUGACUUUCAUAAUUUACAUAAAAAUUUAAGUUGAAGCCAAUAUCAAAAUAUUCUAAAGGAAUAAUAUUAAUAUUAUAUGAGUAAACUUAAAUUAUUCUCAAAAUAUAUUUUUUUAAAUAAUUUUUAAAACAAAUACCAAUUUAUAAUAACAUAAUUCACAUCUUUUUUUUUUGGGACAAUUGUGUUUUGGAUGUAGUUGGGUCCAAAAAUUAAGUUUUGGUCCAUAUAAGUUUAUCAUUUAAGCCCAAGACCUAGAGGAAGUGUGAAAAUUGAGAAGAAGGAUAUGAAUUUUUUAUCUUUCCAAAAAUGACCUUUAUUGACUAUGAAAAAAAAAGAGUAGAAAAACAUUAAUUUAAAUUUUAUUCCUUUUGUAAACCUCAAUAAAAUUUAAUUUAAUUUAGUGAUUUGGAAAAAAAUACACCAUUUUCCAAAAAAAUAAAAAUAAAUUAUUAUUAUCAUUAUUAUUAUUUAAAAAUCAAACAUCUUGAAAAAUAUAUAUAUUUAAAAUUAUGUAUGUAAAAAAUAACUAAAAAUAGGUCAAAUUUAUUUUUUUUAAAUGAUAUAUUUUUAGAAUAUAUAUAUAUUUUUAAAAAAUUAGUUUUCUAAAAAUAAUAAAUUUUUAGAAUAAUUAUUAAAAAAAUUAAGAACAGAAAGUUUGUCGAACAUUGUGGUAAAAAAUACUCAAAAUAGUUUUAAAGGGUAUAUUGGUCUUUUCACAUUUUAUAUCAUUCUCAUCAAUUAUGCAACUUAUAUGGGCCAAAUCUUAAUUUUUGAGCCCAACUGGGUACAAAACACAGUUGUCCUUUUUUUUUUUUUUGUUUAUUUCAUUUUCUAUCUCAAAAUUUUAUCAUUUUAAAAUUUUUUUCUCUAAACAAUAUUUUGUAUUGUUUUUAAACAAAUAAAAAUUAGGUGACUCGGCAUGACCAGGCAUGCUAAGUGUCACACCCCUGAAUAUCUCAUUGAAUUUUUCACGAGUGCGCGUUGCUAAGGACCCUUCCUUAGCCAACAUUCCUUUCUAGCGUUUAGAAAAUAGAGUAAAACACAAAAAGAACAAAGCAACAGGGACACACACGAGGUUACCGGAAUCCUUUCCCAACUUGUAUUAUUUCACUAUUACAAGACAAAAUUGUUUUCUGAACCAGAGUACAAUGCUCUCACCCAAGCAUACGAGAAGGAACCCUUUUCCCAAAACUCUCACUCUCUGUUUCAAGGCUGUAGGAGCCUUUUUAAAAGACUCAAGCUGCAGUUACAAAUUUGAAUUUCCCAAUCCAAAUCUUGGAGCCAACUUUGGUGGUUAUGCAACUGGCCAGAACCGCCCUCAACUGCCCUGCAUAACCACCCACCACCUAGAUAGUGGCUUGUACAUGCCACCCACUUACACCAGCCGUCAUCUCUUAGCCAACUGCAAGUCAAAUGACGGCUUGACUUGGUCACUGAGCUAGUUGCACUAUCAUAUCCUCAGGUCUUGCUCGCCAAGUUGUUGGUGAGUCCCCCUAACAAGACGACCCCUCCCCCGUAAGGUGCCUCUUGUGACCGGGUGCCCAUCAGCAUGUCUUUGAUCAAGGCCCUCUAAGCCAGGCAGCGUGCACCAAUCAUCUGACUAAGCAUCUGGUGCAUUAGUGUGCCUUCCCCACACUGAUGUGUGAGCCUGUGCUAUGUUUAAGUGCCCAUAGCUUGGGCUUGUUGCUUGCUUCUCAGCUUCCUAGCAACGAGCCAUGACAUUGCGCCCAUGGCUGAUCCCUCUUGGUGCAUAAGGCAUUGCGCCCUUGUGCUGUGCGUAGGCAUCUUGGUGCGAGUCAGUUAUCGCUUGGAGCCAUCAGACCAUGGCAUUGCGCCCAUGGUUUCAUCAGCUGGCUCACCGCACAAGGCUUAGGCGCCCUCCUGCCUACGCGGGGAGGGGGUAGGCCGUACCAGGCCUCGUGCCGUUGCGGCCACGGGGUGCACACCACACAUGUCGUGGAGCCCAUGUGUGCGUGCUUGAGUCGCGUCGUGUGUCUUAGGCAUGUCCAAGGCCGUGCCAUGGUGCCCCCUUGGUGCGGUCAAGGCUUCUCUUGGUGGCUCCCUCCUUUGAGUCACCUACCCCCCCUUAAAGAGCAUUACGGGUCGUUUUCAUUGUUUCUUAAGGAGACAUCAAUAUGUCUGAGGAGACAUAAUGGAAUAAUAAUUUUAAUUUAUAAACUAAAAUUCCAAGUUCCUCAACCUUCAUCUGCACCACCUAAGUCAGGUGCGCGUGCGAUGCUCAUCUGGUGCACACACGGUGCAUGUCUGGCUCGCCCACAGUGCGCACGCGGUGCGCGUUUGGCCCACUCGCGGUGCGUAUCUGGCUCGCCCGUGGUGCGAUCGCGGUGUGCGUCUGGCUCGCCCAUGGUGCGCGUCUGGCUUGCCUAUGGUGUGCGCGCAGUGCUCAUCUAGCUUGCCCACGGUGCACGCGCGGUGUAUGUCUGGCUCGCUUGCGGCCUCCUCACAUGGCUUUUGGAGUUUAAACCACCAAACUUCUAGGAUUUCCUUACUUUCAUCCUAGGGUCUCAUAGGUGCAAGGCCUACCCAUGAGGCCUAUUCCUCCAUGGUUAAGUCAAGGGGCUAAGGGGCUGACCCUAAGCCUUUAGUAUGCUUAAUUUUGUCGCACCAGGAAUAUUUCUUGGAUGGGCCAACCUGACUCAACCCAAUUUGUAGCUAUUAGGGUAUAACCUAGAAGGUGACCCACCAAGCCUAUUGAAAAUUAGGGCGUUACUUAAAGGUAGAGGGCCUAUAGGCUUUUAAUAUUGAAUUUACAAUUUAAAAUAAUUCAAUUGGCAUCUACUUAACUAUGUUUGGUUACAAAAAAUUUAAAAGAAAAUGUAACAUAAAGAAAUAUAUAUAUAUAUAUAUAUAUAUAAGAAAAAAUAAAGAAAUAUAAAAAAUAUAAUAAAGUUAAUAAAUUAUUUUUAUAUAUUAUAUUAAAUUCAUUUCACCUUUUUUUUUUAUAAUAAAACCAAAUAUGAAAAAAAAAAUCAUUUUUAUUUUAUUUUAUUUCCUUAAUGUUUUGAUUUUAUUUUAUAAUAUUCUACAAUUAAAUUACAAUGGGAAAUCAAUAAUUAUCAAAACAAACUUUUUUAAAAGAUUUUUUUUUAUAAAAAUAAUAAUUUAUUUAACUAUUAUUUAUUUUAAUUAAAAAAACAUAUAAAUAAGUGGAAAACAAAAUAUGAUAAACUUAGGUGAGAUCGUGUUUAUUGUUUUUUUAGUAGAAUUUAUUUUUAUAUGGCAAUAAUAUGAAACAUAUAAGUGAGUGGAAAAUUGAAUAUUAUAAUUCUUAUAUAAAUGUGUUUAUAUAUAUUUAAUUUGAAAAGUAAGUUGUUUUACUUUUAUAGAUGGUUAAAUGGCCUAUAAAUGGUUAAAUGGCCUAUAUACCAAAUUGGAAAUACAUAUUUGGAAGAUGAGGUGCAAGAGCUUGAGGUAUAUAUAACAACAUUGAAGGCUAAAUGGCCUAUAUAUGGGUGCAAUCAUGUGUGAUGGUUGGAGUUGUAGGACUAAAAAGCCUAUCAUCAAUUUCAUGAUUUAUUAUGAUAGAAGUAUGAUAUACCAUUCUUCAGUUGACACUACCAACUUACCUAAGACAACAUACUACAUCUUUUCCCUUAUGGAUAAAGUUGUAGAGGAGGUUGGGAAGGAAAAUGUUGUUCAAGUAGUCACUGAUAAUGAGGCAAGUUUUAAAGCAGCCGGUAUGUUGUUGAUGAAGAAGCGGAAGCAUUUGUUUUGGUCUCCUUGUGCAGCCCACUGUAUUGAUUUAAUGCUUGAAGAUAUUGUAAACAUGAAGUAGAUUAAGGAGACAUUAGAUCAAGCUAAGAUGAUCACAAGAUUUAUUUACAAUAGCUUGAAAUUAGUGAAUUUGAUGAAAGUGUUCACCAAGGAUAGAGAUCUGUUAAGGCCAGGAAUAACCCGUUUUGCCACUGAAUUCAUUUCACUUGAGAGUCUUAUACGUUAUGAGGUUGAUUUGAAGAGAAUGUGUACAACAAAUAAGUGACGUGAAUUCAAUAAAGAUAGGAGCAGAAAAAGUCUAAGAGAUGAGGUAUCCAACCUUAUAUUAACUGAUCGAUUUUGGAAGAAGGCAGGGAAGUUCAAACCAUCAUGGAACCUCUCGUCAAAGUAUUGAAAUUGGUUGAUCAAGAUAAAAAAGCCACAUUAUCAAUCAUUUAUGAAGCAAUGGAUAGAGCUAAAUUGGUUAUCAAGGCAUCAGUCAAGCAAUGGGAAAAGUAUUGGGAAGUCAUUGAUAGAAGGUGGGAAGGUCAAUUGCACAGACAUUUGCAUGCUGCAGGUAAUAAAAAAAUUCUUUAUAUAUUUUUUAUUAUUUUUUUAAGUACAAAUUAUUAUAAACUGAUCAUUAUUUAACUUAUGACAACAUAUUUUUUAAAUCCAAUGUUCCAAUAUUCAAAACAUUUCUCCAACCAUCCAGAAAUUAAAGUUGGAUUAAAGAAGGUUAUCAAGAGAUUAGAGCCAGAUUUGGAUAGACAAGCAAAAGCUAUUGACGAGGUAUAAUAAUAGUUUGUGAUAUUUAUAUAAUGCAUUUUGUAUAUGUAAUGUGCAUUAACAAAAAAAAAUGUUAAUGAUGUAGGUGAAAUUAUUUAUUGACGACCGAGGAGAAUUUGGAAGUGCACUUACAAAGAACGCAAUAAAUCAAUCUCUUCUAGGUACUCAAUACAUUUACAUUUAUUACAAAUAAGAAAUUAUCAUCAUUUUUUGUUAAAUAUAUCAUAGUGAUUAAUAAGUAUGCAUUUUCUUUAUUAUAGUUGAAUGGUGGAACAACUAUGGCGACGAAGGUCCACAUCUACAAAAGAUUACUGUUAAAAUUUUAAGCCAAACUUGUUCUUCAUUAGGUUGUGAAAGAAAUUGGAGCACAUGGUCAUUGAUUCACACAAAGUUGCGCAACCGUUUGGCAAUAAAAAAGUUGUAUCAGUAGUUUAUGUGCACUAUAAUAUGCGACUUCGAGUUAAGAAUUUGAUGCAAGAGCUAAACAAUGAAGAUUUAUACAAUCCAAUUGAUUUGAAUCAUAUCUUUAAUGAUGAUGAUAUAUUAGAUGAGUGGAUACAAGAAGGAGAGGAGCUUAUUUUAUCAUAUGAUAAUUUGGAUUGGUUGGAUAAAGGUCUUCCCACUAAUGAAGAAGGUAGAGAAACAGUUCAUGAAGAUGAUGGUGCCACAAAUCGUAAAGUUAGUAGGCGUACAAGUAAUGCUACACAAGAAAGAGAUGUUGAUUCCCGUUGUAAAGGUAAGACUCCUAGAACAAUUUCUUCAAGUUUUAGUAGUGAUGAUGGUGACAAUGGGGGCAAUGCGCGGGGUGGUGGCACUAGUGGGGCAAUAGAGGAGUUGGUGGUACUAGUGAGGGUACUAGAGGAUAUGGUAGCACUGAGGGCGGUUAUGUUAGUCAAGUAUAUCUUAACAUGUCAUGGGCACAAGGAGGUGAAAAUUACUAUGCCACACAAGAUACAGAUCAUGGAUAUCGACCAGGGAUAUGGGAACAACGAAAGCAUUUGGAAAGACUAACUACAUUUCCCAGCGAUGAUGAUUAUUUUAGUGGGCAUGAUUAUCAUAGAUCAAAUUAUCACCGUAUUGAUGAGCCCUUAUAGAAUUUGGGUAUAGGAUCAAGGUCAUAUUUUAGAGGGGUAGAUGAUAGAUCAUAUCACAACUUUAGAGACCGUGAUAGCUCUUUCAGUACUUUUAGUAGAAAUGAUUUUGAUCGAUUUCCAAUGAUACAUCCAGAGGGAUAUUCAAAUACUAGAACACGAGCUUGUGAUUCAUACGGAUAUGAUCAAUCUUCUAGUAGUAGUAGCAUUGCUUAUUGAGGUUUUAUAUACUAUCAAUAUGGUGUUGAUCCCGAACAACCUUUGAAACCAUAUUUUCCUUAUUAUGGAUCGUCAAGCCAAUCAUCUGAGCCAACAUAUUCGAGUUAUGAACAACUCUUUGAACCAUAUCAUCACUACAAGAAUUGCCACCCAAUUUGUAUACUCGUCAUAGGACUAAUGAUGAUGAUUUUGAACCCUCUUAUCAUUCAACAUGGAAUUGAUUGUUGUAUGUUUGUUAGUAAAAAUGUUAUUAUAUUUGAAAUAAAAUAAUUUUCUUUUGUUAGCAUUAUUAUAAAUAACUUUGAGCAGAUACUUUUAUAACUAUUUAAAUAAUGUUAAAUGUGAGACAAUUUUAUUUUAUUAAUUUUUUGAGCUUAUUUAAUUGUAUAUAUUUUUAUGAUGAUUUACAUAAUAUUUUUAUAAUUUUUUGAAUUUUCUAAUUAACUUAUUUUAUGUAUCUCCCGAUACUAAACCGAUAUGCCUCGGGAACCUUCGAGUCAGUGACCGAUAUUGCAACUUUGAACCAUGGCCCGAAUUGUCCACACCCAACCUAAACUAGCAUGUAUUCAAAAAAUUAUAAAAUGAGAAAGGACCUAAAUAAAGAAGAAAAUGUAAAGUAUAAGUUAAUAAUAAAAAAAACUUAUAUCAAACUAAAGUACAAACCAAACAUAAAAUACCCAUUCUACCAUUAUAUGAAUAAAACACUGAUUCUCUCAAUAUCCUUCAUAUUAUUAAUUCAAAUUUUAUGUGAGCAUUUAUAGUAAGAUCAUUGAAAUUUUUUUAUUCAACGGAUCACACUUUAUUACCUUUAGCAUGCAUUUUCAUUAAAGAAAUUCAAUCUUUCUAUUAUAUUUUCUAUUGAAUUCCAAUAUUUAUAAAAAAAAGAAAGAAAGUCAUAGUACCUCAUUUUCUAUUAGAUUUCAACACCUAUUUCCAUAAAAAAUUCAUUCUCUACAUCUCAUUUUCCAUCACAUUUCAACAUGCAUUUCCAUAUAAAAACUUCAAUCAAUAUAUUCAAUUUCUAUUGAAUUCUAACAUGUCUUUUUCAUAAAAUAGAAUAAUAACAAAAAAUAAAAUAAACAGCCACUGCAUUUUAAUUUUCAUUGAAUUUCAAUUUUCAUAUACAACCCCGUUAAAUCUCAAUUUACUUUAAUUAAAUAAAUAAAAACACAAGCCAUUAUCAUGAUCACAAUUGGCUAUAUUGAUUUAAUCCAUAUAUGUCUCAUUGAAGAAAAUUCCCAAUCAAAGACCAUUAAUAAUGAUUCUCCAAAAACUAGCUGAGCAUAUGCAUGAUCCACUACACUGAUUUUUAAUUCUAUCAUUUGGAACUUAAAUCUUUAAAGAACCUUUGGGCAAAUUUGGAGGUGAGGAUGAUGGUGGGGUGGGGGUGACGGUGUGGCCAUUAGCAGUGGUGGUGAGUAGCAGCGUAGGUGGGAAGGGAAUGAGGUGGGGGUGACGGUGAUGGUGUCGCCGUUAGUGGUGGUGGUGAGCAGUGGCGUAGGUGGGAAGGUAGUUGAUGGAUGAAGGAAAAAAAAAUGGGUAUCUUGUUGAUGGUUUAUGCAUGGUUUUAAAGUGUGCUUUUCGGCAGCUGGGAAUGGAGCUGUUGCAUGGGAUACUAUGGAUUAAUGUAGCUACCAAAGGCUAGGGUCAACUAGAUGUAUGGUUUUUAUUAAAGUGCAUCAAAUUGUCUAACAUAUAGAAUUAGUUAUCAAAGCUUAUAAAUGACAUAUUUGUUAUAAAAGUAAUUAUAUUCUUAAAGUAUAGAUUUAAUAGUGAUAUAUAUAUAUAACUCAAAUCUUUACUUCAAUUUAUGAUUCAAUAAGUAUUGGGAAUUUUUUUUUCAUUUUUUUUAUCCAUAUAUAUAUUAUCUGAUAUGUUUAUUUUUAAAAGAAAUAAUCCAUAUUAUUUUACAUUUGAAGUGUGAUGAUACUUGUAGUAACUUGAAUUUAUUUUUAUUUUUAUUAUUAUUAUUAUUUUUAUAAUAAUGAAAUUUUUAUUAUUUAUUAUUUAUUUUUGGUUCAUGAACUAUUUAAAAGAAAAUUAUUUUGGCAUGUUCGUUACCUAAAAGGAACAACUUAUUUUAUCUUAUAUUUUUAAGACGUGGAUUUAAUAUUUAUAAAAAACUCUAAGUUUCAUUUCAAUUUAUGGUUGAUGAUAAUUUUAAACAAUCAGAGAAUCCUAAACCACAAAAAAUAGAAGUUCGUGUGAUCACAUCAAAAUUUUAUAGUUUAUUCUCCAAGAAGCUCCCAAGGAAGAAUUAGAGACUACAAGUCGAUGAAUUACAAUGAUUUACUUGGAUAGUAGCCUACAUGUGUUGUGGGCAAAAUGAAGGGUCUACAGGAAUGUUUGAACACUUAACAAGAAGCGUUCAAACACAACACCCAAAUGCUCCUAGUAGGGUGUUCAAACGCUAAUUGUAUAUUUUGCUCAAUUUUGUUUUGAUUUUAUGUUUUUAGGGGUAAUUUGGUAAAAUUAAAGGUUUAAAUAUAUUUGAAAAUUAGACCAAAGUUUUCUUAAGUGUAAAAGAAUCACUUUGUUGGAAUUUUGCAACCUUUGUGAAGAUAGUCAUUCAAUAAAUUUGUGCCUUCAUUUCUUGAAGCUUUCAAGAUCAUGCUUGAAAGUAUCAUUUGACUACAACAAAUGUUUGUGAUUCAUUUUAUGUAAAGAGCUUUGAUAGAUCCAUUAAGGAGUACAUGGAGUAUUGCAUUGAGAAUGUGGUAAAAAAGUAUAAGCGUUAACACUAUAAGACCCUGGGGGAGUAGUCCGGUCAAAGAAAAUCGUGUGUACUAUUUUAUCAUAUUUAAUGGGUUAUUAAACGAUUGAAUGACCAUAUGUGGUUUUCUACAUGAAUGUUAGGUAGUUUUUUCACAUUAUAUCCUAUAUUUAUUCAUGUGAUUAAAUUUUCUUUUGUACGAGGAUUCAUUAAUUCUUACUCAAUAUUGAUAUAACUAAUAAAUAAAACUAAAAAAGUUAAGAAAUUAAUUUCUUAGUCUAUAUAUUCAUCCCUUUUAGGUAGUUUCAUAUCAAGAUAUUAAAUUCUUUUAGAAGCUCUAACUAACCUCCUUAGGUGACCACGAUGGGUGAAGUACAAGAUUGACACCAACAACAACCAUUGAUUGUUCUUUUUCCAUUUGAAAUUUUAGAACCCUUUCUCUCACAUGGAUAACUCUAUUUCUUUCUCCAGGCUUUUGAUUGUUUGAACUCAAUAUUUACUAUAAUAAAAGCAAUAGUACAAACAUUCAAAACCCUAAAGAGAGAAAUACAAUUACCUAAGAGAGAUUUUUAAAAUCCAAAAAGGAGAAAAAACAAUAAAUGAUCUUUGUUGGUGUCUGAUCUUAGAGUUCCCCAAUAGUAGCCACCUAUGAAGCUCAGCUAGUGCAUAACUACGGGUUAGAGAAAAUGAGAAGAGGGAGAAGAGGUGGAGGUUAUGAUUUAGGGGGCUUGAGAUUAGGGUUUGUGAGUUUAAGAAAUGAGAGAGAGGGAGAAGAAAUAGAGAUUAAGGUUUGUGGGUUCACAAAAUUGAGAGGAAAGGAGAUUUAGGCUAUGUUUGGUUCCCGAAAAAUCUGAGGGAAAAUGCAAAAGAAAGAAAAUAAAAAGAAAAAAUAGAAAGAAAGAAAAAGUGAAAAAAAAUAAAAAAUAGAUUAAAAGUCGAUAAAUUAUUUAUAUUUGUUACUUUAAACACAUUUUAUUUAUUUUAAUUCAUCAAUAUAAAGAUUGAAUAAUUUAAACAUACAUGAAAUUUUAAUUAAAUUUGAUUUUCUUUUAUAUUUUUCAUAAGACAAUCAAAUAUGAAAAAAUAAUUUUUUUUUUUUUGUAUUUUUUUUCUUUCCUUAGUAUUUUCCAGGAACCCAACACAACCUUAGGUUUUAUGGGGGCUUUGUGGGAUUUAUUUCAUUUAUUUAUUUAUUUUUUAAGGACAUGUAACAAAUACCACUUGACUAAGAUAGAUGCACAAGUGAAAGACUUGGGUAAAGGGAGUAUGAAAUGGGAACCCAUAGACACAUGAAGCAUGCAUUGAAAACUCGUACAGUCGUUUACAUUUUGACAUAUUUCACUCAUGCACUCUAUUUUAUUUUUUCUACUUUGGUAUAUAAAUAUGGAUUAGUAUCAUAGAAGCAUAUACAUACCAAGUAAAAACUUCUUAUGGUCACCCACAAAAGGGGAUAUCAAUUUAGUGGUUUGCAAAAUGUUGAGAAUUCUACGGUAACAUUUUUUCAUGUGUAACCCCUCUUUUUUGAAGAGAUGAAUUUACUCUACCAAUAGUUCAGUAGAUGAUAUUGAAUUAUAAUUUUAUUCACCUCCCUCGAUAUUUAAGUUAAAUAUGUCUAACUAUCAUUAGUUUGAAAUUUUAUGAAAUAUAUUCAUUUCCUUUCUCUUUUUUCAUUUUCACUUCCCUCAUUUUAAUUCAAAAUAUGAAAGAUAUUUGAUAAAAUUUCAUAUUCACGGCACUAAAAUAUAUUUAACUCAAAUUGUAGGGAAGAUGAGUGAAAUUCAUCCCUUUACUUUUUAUAUUUUUUUCAUCUUUUUAAAAGACCACUUGACUAUUAGUAAACUCUUAUUAGUAUUUUUGUAGAACUUGUGUGACUUAUCUUUUGAAGAUAAAAGUUUGAUUUUUUUUGGGUUUCUUUUUGGAUAUUUUUUUGUAUUAUUUUAUUUUAUGAUUUUUUUAAUAAAGAAAUGUAAUAUUGAAAAGAUUUGUAACUUAAACUUAAUAACAAUACUUAUUUUAAUUCUUUUUUUUAAGUACUAUUUUUUUCUCUUAUGGCAUUUUUCUAAUGAAAAUAUAAAAGUUAUGUUUAACCUCAAAAGUUUGAGGGAAAAUGUAAGAAAAAAAAUGGAAAGAAAAAGUAGAAGGAAAUAAAAGUUGAAAAAAAUAAAAAAUAAAAUUAAAGUUUAAAAAAUAUUUUUAUAUAUUAUUUCAUAUUUUUUUUCGUAUAUUUAAAUCUUUUAUAUAAAAAUUGAAUAAUUUAAAAAUAUAUAAAUUUAUUAAUAAUUUUAGUUAUAAUUGACUUUUUUUUUAGAAUAAAAUCAAAUAUGAGAAAUUUUUUUUUGAAUAUUAUUAUUAUUUUUCUAGUAUUUUACGAGAAUCAAACAUAAUUUUAGAGUUAAAUUAAUAAUGAUUUUAGGAAAAUGAAAAGAAACUAAUAUUAUUUAGAUUGAAUAAAUUUUAGAAAGAGAAUAUAAAUUUCCAACAAUUUUAUUUUUUAUUUAGAAUGGAUUUUUUAAUUUAAUAUUAUUUUCAUUUAACGAAAAACGACAGUUAAACGGCGUCGUUGUUUGCUGACUGAAAGAUGGUGGUAGGAAAAUAAUUGGAGAGGAGCCGAACCUACUAAAUUACUAACUGCAUCUCAGUGAUUUGAUUCGAUUUGAUUUUAGUAGAAAUUCAACGUACACGGCCUCAUCCUCUUCCGUCUUCUUCCCAUCUCAACUCCAUUUUGUUCUCUGCUGCCAACCCUAAGCCAUGGAUUCACUGCUCGCGUAUCAGCUCCUUCGCAUCCUAUCCCUCACUCUUCUUCUCUCAUCGUUCUCUCGUAUCUCUAAAUCAAGUGAGGUAAUUAAAAAUUCUUUCUCAUAUGAUUUCUUUGCUUAGUCUCCGUUUGCUUUCCAACAAAAUUUAAGGAAAGUUUAACGACAGAGUGGGUUUUGAAUCUUUUGUGUUUCUUUUUUCUGUGAGAAAAUGGAAGCAUCCACUUCACUGAGCUUACUCGAUUCAGUGAUUUUUUUUCCUAUUAAUUUUAUAUUGUUGAAGGAGAAGUAUGGUUGUAUUGGGCUCUGUUUGGGUACCAGGAGACAGAAAGGAAAAGGAACUUUGAAGAAUCUCAAACGUUGAAGAAUUUAAUGGUUGUAUUGGGCUUUGUUGGUUAAAUCAUGUGGAUGUGGAUGUGGUUGUGUUAAGUUUCAUACUUUGAAGAAUCGAAUAUUGAAGCUUUUUUCUUUGUUCUUUUUUUGGAUAUUUUAUUGCAUCCAAACUGAGGAUUAGGGUUAAUACGGAAUUAGGAUGUGAUUGUUUACAGUUUUGUGAUGCUGGAACUGGAUUUGGUGAUUCUGGAUGUGUAGUCUCGUCGAAGUCUGCAUCAAAGCUGUUAAUCAAGGGAGGAACUGUUGUGAAUGCUCAUCAUCAGGAGAUUGCUGAUGUUUAUGUAGAGGAUGGGAUCAUUGUUGCUGUGAAGCCUAAUAUUAAGGUAAUUCAUAAAGUAAUUUAUUUAAUCCAUUGUCUGUUGUGUUUCAUUGGUUGAAUUUGAUCCAAAAAUGUUAAAUGAGUUGCUCAGAGAGGGCUAAUUAGCUCUAGCAUGAAACUUGAUUGGAUUGCCAUGAUGAGGGCUUUUAUGUACUGGAUUUGACAUUUUAAGAUUCUUUAGAAAAUUCAAAUUUCAUGGGAGAAUGGUGGGGUAGAAUGGUUGUUGUGGAGUCUAGUCAUCUAAGUUGUCAAAAAAUCUUGGAUUAUUCCAAAAAUAUUCAGAAACUAUCGCUAUCCUUAUCAAAGGAAAGGUCCAUUCUAGCAAUCUAAAAAACAAACAUGUGGAGCAGAGACAGACACGCCCUUUCAUUUUUUUUUUAAUUUUUUUAUUAUUAUUAUUCGUGCAUAUCCCAAAUGUAAAAAAUACUUCCCAAUAGAAAUUAUUUGUAAAAUUCCUAAAUUACUCUAUUUAAUUAUUGAAUGAUACACACAUGCCUUUUGUUUUCUCAACAUGCAUAUAUUUUCCUAGUUGCAAAUUCAUUCUCAGAUUCUCUCCAUGCUAUUCCUGAUGUUUGCUUCAGCUAGCUCCCAAAUUCUGAACCAUUUGAAUGCCAAAAGUUCUUGAAUUCCCAAUUGUCAUUCUGGUCAUUGAUUUAUUUGAUGGUUUGGUAAAGCUGUUAAGCAUGAUUCUAUUUUUAAAAUCAGAAAAUAGUACUAACUUUUAUAUAAAGUAUAAGAACUCUUAGAGGUUUACAUUGAAAAAGUAAUGGUUUAAAAACAAUUUAAAAAAAUUGAGGUAUCAAAAAAAUUUUAUUGCCUCAAAUUUAAAAAUUUUUAAAAGUGAUUUUUAAAGACAUAAGAUAAAUAUACUUUUUAUGCAAGAGGCUCUACUUUUUAUAUAAAACUUAUUACUAUUUUCUGAUUUUAAAAACAAAAAACAGGAAGUGUAACUAAAUGGACUUUUAACUGUUGUGACAGUAGAAUAUGGUGAUAGAUAAAUAUACUUUUUAUACAAGAGGCUCUACUUUUAAAUUAUAAGCUGAAUCUGAUGUUGAUAGAUAAAGGAUUUUUUUUUCCUCUAUGUGAAUGGAUGAUUAAAUGGAAAAUGGGAAUUUUUUGUUAAAAUUUAUAUAAACAGCUCUUAGUUUCAAGAAGUUGAUCUUUGUCCAAGGAUAAAACACAACUGCUUCAAGAGGUCAUCCAAAUUAUGAAUGCUUCACCUACUUUUCUUAUUCAAAGUGAGCAUACUUCUGAUAUAUAAUAUAUGUAUGUGUUCAUGUAUGUUAUACAACUUAUAAAAAUUUUGUUAUUAGGUGCAGACCUAUUUAAAUAAAGAACUAGUAUUUUCUUUUUGAAUAAACUAUAGUUCAUUGAGAAUAACAAGAGAGAAAUCAGAAAACUAGCAAGAUAUACUAAUGAAAGACAAACUGGAUUUACAGAACAGAAAAGAUCAAGAAAGGAAUAGCUAGAUAGGGAGCAUGAAGUUGUUAUCCACCAGAAUAAAGUUCUAAGAAAUGCUUUGUUUAACUUAAAAAUGAGAUCUAUUUUUAAAUAUUUUUCUAUUUCUAUUCUCUAAGAAAUCUCCCUAUUUGUACAGCAAGGGCACUGAUCAUUGGAUAGUCCUGGUGUAUCGGUGAUCAUAUUUUGAAGCCUUAUUUUACAACAUUGGUCCUUCACAGGUCAUCACAUCAUCAAGCAAAAAUCAGAAUAGAGAAAGCAUGAAAACCCAAUGCUCUCUAGCCAUCAACUAGUGAAGAAAAUGAUGACCGAUAGAUCAAGUACCAUAUCUACAAAUGCAAUGUUGACUUGAAAUAUGCUCCAAUCAAGAUGUUAAAUCUCUUUGCCAAAUAGAGAAAGAACUAUGCUUUGGAUGGAGCCAACAGGCACCAAGAUUUUUAUCUGGAGCUCUUUAUCAAUAAAAUGUUUAACUGUGAAUUUACCAAUAUGAUUCAUUUCUCCAUCAUCAAUCCUAUUUUUCCCUCUAAGCUCAAAUUCUAACACCAUUUCCAAGUUCAAUCACGAAAUGCUUCAUAAAACUAGGCUACUACAUCUUCUCUGCCAAUCACACUACACAAUCCUUGAUGCCAACCUCUUUAUUCACCACAAUUCCAAAUAGCUUUAGGAAUUUCUUCACAUGAGGGGUCUUCUACACGAUUUCCAAGUUCAAUCAUGAAAAUGCCUUACAAAACUCGGCUAGUGUAGCUCCUCCUCCAAUUUUUUUUUUUCGAUAAGUAAACACAUAUAUUAGCAAAAGGCAAAACGCCGCAUAACAUACAGGGAGUAUACGAGGCAACGCGGGCCUCACAACAAAAAGACAAAAGGAACAAAAAACCCACCGACCCUUAACUGGAGGCUAACCACUCUAAGAAACCUAUAAGGGAGCGAGGCUCCGCACCACUAUACAAUUUUACCCACCCUCACACAUUACAAACAAAAGAAUUCUUAAUUUUCUGAAUAGCUAACUCCCCCUCCUCCCCCUGAAUGCUAAUCUAUUCAUCUCCUUCCAAAUCGUCCAAAAAAUAAAUAACGGAAUGGAUCUCCAAAUUUUCUCCCUCUUUUUACCCACAAAAGAACCCUUCCAACUAAAAACCACCUCCUUUACAGAUUCAGGAAAGACCCAUUGGGCACCAAACAAACUAAGAACAAUCCCCCACAACACUCUAGCCACUGUACAAUGAAUAAGUAGAUGAUUUACAUUUUCCUCAUCACUACCACAUAAAUAACAAUGAUUAGGAAGCUGCCAUCCUCUCUUUUGAAGCCUAUCAAGGGUAAGAAUCCUCCCCCAAGUAGCUUCCCACGCAAAGAAAGCUAGCUUAGAAGGAACGUUCUCCACCCAAAUGCCCUUUUUAGGAAACAUGGAAACACUAGGGCUGAUCAUCAAACCAUACACUUCCUUAACGCCAAACUUCCCAUUUUUUCCUUCCUUCUAAAAGGCCGAGUUCUCCUCCAAGGUAAUUCUUUGACUCCUUAAAAUUUGGAGUAAUUCGCCUAUCAUGAUCAGCUCCCAAUCAUUGAAGCCUCUAAUGAUGAACCUUAGAUUUCAACCUCCUUAACCAGAAUUCUGGUCCCACAUAUCCCCCACUGUGGCGUUCCUUUAGGCAGCCGCAGAGAAGAGUUGAGGGAACCUCCGAGACAGCUCCACAUCCCCACAACAAGGGUCCUUCCAAAACCUAAUUCUGGUGCCUUUUCCCACCUUAAAAGUCGUAUUAGCCCAACACCAAUCAGCUUCUUUCAAGAUCUCCUUCCAAACCCCAACACCAAAUGCCCCAUUUGCCUUUUUAGUCCUCCACCCAAAUUCCUCUUGCCCAUAUUUUGCCACAAGAACUCGUUUCCACAUCUCGUCCUUGGCCCAAGCAAAUCUCCACACCCAUUUUCCAAGCAAAGCUUUGUUCAAGGGGACUAACUUCCUCAAUCCAAGCCCCCCCUUCUCCUUACCCACACACACCCUCUCCCAAUUGACUAGGUGGGCUUUUCUUUCCGUACUUCCCCCUCCCCACAAGAAAUCUCUUUGCAACUUUUCAAGCCUUCUUGCCACUGUCCUAGGCAUACGGAAGAGGGACAAUUGAUAUAAAGGCAUGCUAGCCAAAGUACUCUUUAUGAGGGUGACUCUACCGCCCUUGGAGAUGUAUUGCCGUUUCCAAAGGGCCGAUUUCCACCUCAUCCUUUCUUCCACCCCAUCCCACACACAAGAGGCUUUAUUGGACGCACCCAACGGCAGCCCCAGGUAAGUUGAUGGCAGCUGACCUACCUUGCAACCCAACUCCACAGCCAAUUAAAGCAAACAAUCCUCCAUAUGUGCCUCCUUAUUCAAUGCAAUGCUAAACAAUCUUAGGGAUUGUUUGACAAAAGGAGUCUUCUAUGCUAGGUGUACGUCUACUCUGUAACCAACCACUUUGAAAUUCUUGUCAAGCCCCUUCUACAGUAGCUUUUCAAAGUGCAUUUAAUGAUGUCUAACUUGCACAAAUUGACCCUCAGUUCAGAAAAUGAUAUUUGAAUUCAUCCCUAUCCCAGCCUUUGGAAUUCUUUUUUAAUUUCUUCAAGAAAGCACAAUUGGGGACAUGAAUCUGGAGAAAGUACAUACACAGUUUGUAAGCUUCUUCAUCAAAGUUACCCUCACUCAUUUAGAAGAGCAAAUCCUCUUCCAGCCACUUAGUCUUCUUUUUUCCCCUUUUAUUCAGUGCCUUAAAAACUGCUCAUACCUUAAAUACUGAUUUGUUGAUAUAUGUUCAAAUGGCUGCUGUAAUGAGCUGUAUUUCCAUAGUAGUUUGAACGAUAUGGAACCUAACAUACAUUCAUGAACUUUUACCCAUUCAAGUUUCUUCUAGCCCUUUAAUUUUUUAUCUCAGCAUGCUGGUUUCUCUUGAUGUUUCUUUCUUUUCUUUAUGCUUUCUAAUGUGCAUCUUUAUAUUUUAUUGCCAUAUCUAGGUAGGUGAUGAUGUUACUGUGCUUGAUGCCACCGGAAAGUUUGUCAUGCCAGGUGAAUUUUCACUACCAUGGUCAUAUGAUAUUUUGUGCUCAGUUUUAAAUUCUAAAUCUAAGGAGCCAUGCAAGAUGAAAGCCUCAUGCACAUUUGAAAGCCUAACUUGUGAACAAGCCUAACUUUCCAAGUCAAUGAUGGAUACUGUGACUCUGAACCAUUCUUCUAAUGCUCAACCGUAAACUCAUAAGCAUAUCUGAGCGGUUUGACUCCUCUUUGUUCUUCACUCUUCAGAUGAAACCAAAAAACCUAAAUAAAAAGAGUGAAGGAACCAGAGAGCUCUCUAGAAGAGCAGGAAAUGUCUUCCAAGGAGCGAUCAUCUCUUUCAUGCCUUCAUGCUGUGCUCAUUUUUCCAUUUCCAUAUAAGCAAUUGAACACUCAUUCAGCAUGGUAAAUCUUUUAGCUAUCAUGAUGCACUUAUUGGGCAUAUUUUGAGGUAUACCAGAGGAACAUACUGUAAUGUGAUAAGAAUCCAUUGGUUGACCCAGCUGCUGGUGAUAUUAUUCAAGUUUUUAGAAGGAAGACUGUAAAUCAGUCUUUUUUCCUUGCUAUUGAUAAGAGUAAAAUGCAUUUCCUGUUUAAUUUCUUUUAGUUUUUUACUUGUGAAAUCUAUGAAAACUCAUUAAUCAGUAAGCUACAUGACAUGUUAAAUUCGAGAGCUUAAAAUUGAAGUCCUAUGUUCUGAAGUUUUUAGUUUUAGGUCAUUUUAAUUUAAUCUGGAAGUGCAGUUCACCCAAUGAUUUGACUCCAAGGCAUAGGCGUUUGAAUCACAAGGCUAUUGCCUUCGCCAAUAUGCCUUUGAUAAUCCUUUUAUUUUGACUGGACUGUUAGUAUCAUAUUGAAGCAGCAUUUAUGCCUUGACCAAUCCAAGAGCUUAAGAGUUCUUGAUCUUAAUCAGUGAGCCUGCACAUAGCUUCACAUAGUUUUGAGUUUCCUAAUCAAUCAUAGGUUUUGGAAUCUAAAUGGCACUGAUAAACUAUUCAUUUCCUUCUCUAUCUAUUUUGAACAUAAUACAUAAAUACAGCAGAAAGAAUUAUCAUGCUGUAACCUGCACUUAGUGACUUAGUUCUUUCGUUUGUAUGCUUGCCAGAUCCUGCAAAUUUGUAUUAUUAGUGUUAUGGUUUUCCAUGAUUUCUGACUAGGAAUACAACCUUUGGAGUUCCAAUCCUUCCUCACAUGUUAUACCUAUAAAAUGUUGGUCUCUUGUCUCAUCCAUUGUGUCCAUGUGUUCCGCUUUCUUUUCAGAGUGGGUUAACCUCCUCUCUUCCCCCAUUUUCCUUAACAGAGCCUUGGAUGCAUGCCAUGGGGUUUUUGAAAUCUAUAGCUGGUAAUAAGGAGUACAUGAUUGUAUAUCAACUGUAGGUGCAAAAAGCACUAACUAUACAUCCAUCCUAGGCCUUGUAGGUGGAUUCAACAGGGUGCAAUGUGGUACGGGGAGCCAAACCCUUUAAUACUGCACUUAUUAUAAUUAAAACCUGACUUGUUGGUUUGCCAUUUUUUCCACUGUAGACUUGUUAAGUUUAAUUAGCAUGUCCAUGUCCAUGUCCAUUUCCGUCUCUAAGAACUACAUAUAUUUGAUCCAUAUAUAUUGCAACAUUAAAUUUUAAUGUUUACAGGUGGAAUUGAUCCUCACACACACCUAGCAAUGGAGUUUAUGGGUACUGAGACCAUUGAUGACUUUUUCAGUGGUCAAGCUGCUGCAC
rnacentral:lncRNA from 1 species